rnacentral:rRNA from 1 species
UGCAAGUCGAGGGGUAACGAUGUCUUCGGACAGGCGACGACCGGCGCACGGGUGAGUAUCGCGUUUGUAACCUACCUUUAACUGGAGAAUAGCCCGAAGAAAUUCGGAUUAAUACUCCAUAACACUAUGAUCUGGCAUCUUUUUAUAGUUAAAGCUCCGGCGGUUAAAGAUGGGCAUGCGUAACAUUAGUUUGUUGGUGAGGUAAUGGCUCACCAAGACUACGAUGUUUAGGGGGUCUGAGAGGAUGGUCCCCCACACUGGUACUGAGACACGGACCAGACUCCUACGGGAGGCAGCAGUGAGGAAUAUUGGUCAAUGGGCGCAAGCCUGAACCAGCCAUGCCGCGUGAAGGAUGACAGCGCUACGCGUUGUAAACUUCUUUUGUACAGGAAGAAACGCUUCUACGUGUAGAAGUUUGACGGUACUGUACGAAUAAGCAUCGGCUAACUCCGUGCCAGCAGCCGCGGUAAUACGGAGGAUGCAAGCGUUAUCCGGAUUUAUUGGGUUUAAAGGGUACGUAGGCGGAAAAUUAAGUCAGUAGUGAAAUCCUGCAGCUUAACUGUAGAACUGUUAUUGAUACUGGUUUUCUUGAAUAUAGUUGAGGUAGGCGGAAUGUGUAAUGUAGCGGUGAAAUGCUUAGAUAUUACACAGAACACCGAUUGCGAAGGCAGCUUACUAAGCUAUGAUUGACGCUGAGGUACGAAAGCGUGGGGAGCGAACAGGAUUAGAUACCCCUGGUAGUCCACGCUGUAAACGAUGAUCACUCGUUGUU